UAUUGGGCGUAAAGAGCUCGUAGGCGGUUUGUCGCGUCUGCUGUGAAAUCCCGAGGCUCAACCUCGGGUCUGCAGUGGGUACGGGCAGACUAGAGUGCGGUAGGGGAGAUUGGAAUUCCUGGUGUAGCGGUGGAAUGCGCAGAUAUCAGGAGGAACACCGAUGGCGAAGGCAGAUCUCUGGGCCGUUACUGACGCUGAGGAGCGAAAGGGUGGGGAGCAAACAGGCUUAGAUACCCUGGUAGUCCACCCCGUAAACGUUGGGAACUAGUUGUGGGGUCCAUUCCACGGAUUCCGUGACGCAGCUAACGCAUUAAGUUCCCCGCCUGGGGAGUACGGCCGCAAGGCUAAAACUCAAAGGAAUUGACGGGGACCCGCACAAGCGGCGGAGCAUGCGGAUUAAUUCGAUGCAACGCGAAGAACCUUACCAAGGCUUGACAUACACCAGAACGCCCUAGAAAUAGGGAACUCUUUGGACACUGGUGAACAGGUGGUGCAUGGUUGUCGUCAGCUCGUGUCGUGAGAUGUUGGGUUAAGUCCCGCAACGAGCGCAACCCUCGUUCUAUGUUGCCAGCACGUAAUGGUGGGAACUCAUGGGAUACUGCCGGGGUCAACUCGGAGGAAGGUGGGGAUGACGUCAAAUCAUCAUGCCCCUUAUGUCUUGGGCUUCACGCAUGCUACAAUGGCCGGUACAAAGGGCUGCAAUACCGUGAGGUGGAGCGAAUCCCAAAAAGCCGGUCCCAGUUCGGAUUGAGGUCUGCAACUCGACCUCAUGAAGUCGGAGUCGCUAGUAAUCGCAGAUCAGCAACGCUGCGGUGAAUACGUUCCCGGGUCUUGUACACACCGCCCGUCAAGUCAUGAAAGUCGGUAACACCUGAAGCCGGUGG
rnacentral:rRNA from 1 species